UACGUAGGGGGCAAGCGUUAUCCGGAAUCACUGGGCGUAGAGGGUGCGUAGGCGGCCGAUAAAGUCUGGGGUGAAAGGCUACGGCUUAACCGUAGUAAGCCUUGGAAACUUAUUGGCUUGAGUGCAGGAGAGGUAAGUGGAAUUCCUAGUGUAGCGGUGAAAUGCGUAGAUAUUAGGAGGAACACCAGUGGCGAAGGCGACUUACUGGACUGUAACUGACGCUGAGGCACGAAAGCGUGGGGAGCGAACAGGAUUAGAUACCCUGGUAGUCCACGCCGUAAACGAUGAGUGCUAGGUGUCGGGGGCGACAGCCCACGGUGCCGCAGCUAACGCAUUAAGCACUCCGCCUGGGGAGUACGCUCGCAAGAGUGAA
rnacentral:rRNA from 1 species